rnacentral:rRNA from 1 species
AGGGCAUGCGGUGGAUGCCUUGGGAGAAGUGACCGAAGAAGGACGUAGCAGACCGCGUUAGGCCUCGGGUAGGUGUCAAGCAACCUGUGAUCCGGGGAUUUCCGAAUGGAGCAAUCCUCCCGCCAAUUUAGGGCUGGUAUAUCAAAUAUCCCAACCGAUAAAUAAUUCGUUAAUUAGUCGGGUGGGCAGUAGCGAUAUACGAGCUUUAAAUUGGCGGGAACCCAUUGCUGAAUACAUAGGCGAUGUGGAGGAAACCGUGCGAACUGAAACAUCUUAGUGCAAGGCUAAGAACUUAUCGUUCGCAGCCGAAGCGAAAGCAAGUGCGAAUAGCGCGAUUGAAGUAGCAGGGAUUAGACCCGAAACCGGGUGACCUAACCAUGGUCAGGCUGAAGCUGCCGUAAAAAGCAGUGGAGGGCCGCACCCACCUACGUUGAAAAGUGGGGGGAUGAACUGUGGUUAGCGGAGAAAUUCCAAUCGAACCCGGAGAUAGCUGGUUCUCCCCGAAAUAUAUUUAGGUAUAGCCUCAGAGCGUUCCCGGCAGUGGUAGAGCUACUGAAUGGAUUCGGGCGGUUUACCGUACCGCGUCCAAUUAAACUCCGAAUACUGUCCGGUUAAGCCCGGGAGUCAGAAAACGGCGGCUAAGCGUCGUAUGUCGAAAGGGAAACAGCCCAGACCGCCAUCUAAGGUCCCUAAAUUCAGCUAAGUGUGAAAGGAAGUGGAGACACAUGAACAACCAGGAGGUUGGCUUAGAAGCAGCCAUCCUUCAAAGAAAGCGUAACAGCUCACUGGUCGAUGUGUGUCUGCGCCGAAAAUUUAACGGGGCUAAGCUGAAUACCGAAGAUGCGGGCUCUGCCGUAAGGCAGAGCGGUAGGGGAGCGUUCUGCGCAGCAGUGAAGUUUAACCGCGAGGUUGGAUGGAGCGCGCAGAAGUGAGAAUGUUGGCACGAGUAGCGAGAUUAGAGUGAAAAACUCUAACGCCGAUUUAUCCGAGGUUUCCUGGGCGACGGUUUUCGACCCAGGGUUAGUCGGUCCUAAGCCGAGGCCGCAAGGCGUAGGCGAUGGACAACAGGUUAAUAUUCCUGUACUGCUUAAUGUUCGCCCAAGACAAGCAAACUGGUAGGCCAGAUGAUCGUCCCGCCAAUUUAGGGCUGGUAUCUUGGUAGUUUCUUAAUCGUUUUACGUUUAUAUGUAAUUGGUCGAGAGAUAACCAUAGGUACAAGCGUUAAAUUGGCGGGAUGGAUGCUGGUUCUGCUGGUCUGCACGUCUAGCAAUGGGGUGACGCAAGUUGGUAGGCCGAGCUGAGAUAGGUUUCUCAGUCUAAGCAACAAGUGGGUUCCUUUGGCAAAUCCGGGGAACGUCCGAGCAAUCGGAGAACCGCGAGUUGUAAUGGAAAGUUGAGUCUUUCGGGACAAGGCGAUUUGGCUGAUCUAAGUUGACCAGAAAAACCUCUAGCGAGAACAUUGAGCAUCCGUACCUAAACCGACACAGGUGGAUAGGGCGAGUAGCCUAAGGCGCACGAGAGAACCCUCUUUAAGGAACUCGGCAAAAUAGCGUCCGUAACUUCGGAAUAAGGACUGCCCCCCACUUUCUGCGCAUAGCGCUCAUGCGCUAAGCAACGCAAGUUGGUGCGUAGAAAGUGGGGGGCCGCAGCUAAAGACAUCAGGCGACUGUUUAGCAAAAACACAGGUCUCUGCUAACUCGAAAGAGGAGGUAUAGGGGCUGACGCUUGCCCGGUGCCAGAAGGUCACGUAGAGGGGUUAUCCCGCCAAUUUAGAGCUGGUAUUCGCGUAGCAGCACACGAGUACGAACUUUAAAUUGGCGGGAGAAGCUCCAACACUAAGCCCUGGUGAACGGCGGCCGUAACUAUAACGGUCCUAAGGUAGCGAAAUUCCUUGUCGGGUAAGUUCCGACCCGCACGAAUAGCGUAACGGUCUGAUGACUGUCUCAAAGAGGGACUCGGCGAAACUACAUUGCCGGUGAAGAUGCCGGCUAUCCGCAGCAAGACAAAAAGACCCCGUGGAGCUUUACUACAACUUGACGCUGGGUUAGGAGCUGGUUUGUGUAGGAUAGGUGGGAGACUGUGAAGCCCCGACGCUAGUCGGGGUGGAGUCAACGGUGAAAUACCACCCUGACUAUUUCUUAAUCCUAACCUCUAGCCAUUAUCUGGCAGGGGGACAGCGUUUGGUGGGUAGUUUAACUGGGGCGGUUGCCUCCCAAAAAGUAACGGAGGCGUUCAAAGGUUCCCUAGUCCCGGAUGGAAAUCGGGACGAUAGCGCAAUAGUAUAUGGGAGCUUAACUGCGAGACCUACAAGUCAAGCAGAUGCGAAAGCAGGAUAUAGUGAUCCGACGGUUGCACAUGGGUGCGCCGAAGCUCAACGAAUAAAAGUUACCCCGGGGAUAACAGGCUGAUCGCUUCCAAGAGUCCAUAUCGACGAAGCGGUUUGGCACCUCGAUGUCGGCUCGUCACAUCCUGGAGCUGGAGCAGGUUCCAAGGGUUCGGCUGUUCGCCGAUUAAAGUGGCACGCGAGCUGGGUUCAGAACGUCGUGAGACAGUGGGUAAUUAUUCGCUCUAGGAGCGAAUAAUGUAUGACUGCGCUGUCUAUAAACUUGGCUAAAUGCUGGAAACUCUGAGUAUCUCUAUACUACUAUUGCCAAUAUGGCAGCCUAACUGACAAAAGUCAGGUGCUGGUAGUUAGGGAUCGUCACGAUUUGCUGACUAAAGUAAUCCCGUUUUUUCGACACUAUCCCCUCUUGUCUUCCAAACAAACUGAUUUUCAAAAGUUUGCUGAAAUCGUCUCCGCUAUGCGAACCAACCACCAUCUUGAAAAGAAUGGCCUCAAGAAAAUUAUUAUUAAGGCCUUCUCGAUGAAUGGGGGAGGGAGGUAUCGCAAGCUAGACAAAGACAAAAUUCUUGCCAAUUUAGAAUCCUCAGAGACUAUAUGCCAAGUCCUGCCACACGGCAGGAAAGAUAUAGUCCGAACUGCAUAGCGAUAUGUAGAAUCCUACCGAAAGGUAUGGUCACCACAGAGCAACAUCAGUAUUGGAUGUGGUUUGCAAAGUAACAAAUUGUCGGUCUCUAUCUGCUGUGGACGAAGGAAAUUUGAGCGAAGCCCACCCCAAGAUAGAUUUCCAUCCCCCGCAAGGGGGGAGAAACUCCAAGGAGACCACUUGGUUGAUAGGCGACAGGUGUAAGCCCAGUAAUGGGUUCAGCCGAGUCGUACUAAUA